UGACCUGGGUUCCGAACUUAAUUCUCUCC
rnacentral:piRNA from 1 species